GACGAACGCUGGCGGCGCGCCUAACACAUGCAAGUCGAACGAGCGAGAGAGAGCUUGCUUUCUUGAGCGAGUGGCGAACGGGUGAGUAACGCGUGAGGAACCUGCCUCAAAGAGGGGGACAACAGUUGGAAACGACUGCUAAUACCGCAUAAGCCCACGGUGCCGCAUGGCACAGAGGGAAAAGGGGCAAUCCGCUUUGAGAUGGCCUCGCGUCCGAUUAGCUAGUUGGUGAGGUAACGGCCCACCAAGGCGACGAUCGGUAGCCGGACUGAGAGGUUGAACGGCCACAUUGGGACUGAGACACGGCCCAGACUCCUACGGGAGGCAGCAGUGGGGAAUAUUGCACAAUGGGGGAAACCCUGAUGCAGCGACGCCGCGUGGAGGAAGAAGGUCUUCGGAUUGUAAACUCCUGUUGUUGGGGAAGAUAAUGACGGUACCCAACAAGGAAGUGACGGCUAACUACGUG
rnacentral:rRNA from 1 species